GAGAUAAGGGGAGAGCUUAGACCCUGGCUCAGCCUGGUACUUCAAUCCCACAACCCACAUGGUGACAAGUCUCUUAGAUACAGCGCCUUCUGGACCCAUGGCUGCCCCAGGGACUCAGUGCAACAAGGAAGCUGGGAGUGACACUUUUUCCUCAGCUGCAGAGACAGAGAAGGGGAAGGAAGGGACAGUACAUGCUGCCUCAGAGCUGGGGCAAUGUUCCUAGGAGGGAAGGGAGAGAUGACAACAUCGAGCUGGAUCAUGAAGGAUGAGUGGACACUUGAAGAUGUUCCAGCAGGAAUGGAGCAAAGAGAGGCAUGAAUGUGGCCAGCAAUAGCGAGUUCAUGGGGGCUGGGCACUUUGCAAAGGUCGACAGGAGGAAAAUAGAAAACAGGGAAAGCCAGGUGGCAGAGGUGCCAGCUGUAGGAAAACACAGGGAGGUGAUGUACAGGUACAGUCCACAGAGUUUAGAUGUGAGUAGCCAGAGGCCGAGAGCUGGGCGUGUAGAGGGCGUGAGGCAGGGCGUCACGUCACAAUCAGUCACAAUCAGAGCCGCUUUCUAGGCUGCAUCGGGGGCCAGGCAUAACGGCCUAGCUGGGAAGGCAACGCAGGGAAGAAGCUGCUAAGCUACUAGCUGGAGUUGGCAGAGGACACGGGGAUGGGCCAGGCACGGAGAAAUGCCCAUGGAACCGAGGACCCGAUACUUCACCUGCGUCCUCAUCUAUCGGACACUUCGCCACUUCCGGAUCCUGGGCAUCCAGACCCCACAGUUCAGCCUCUUCCUCCACCCAGGAGAUGAGCGCCGGCUUGGUGCCUCCGACUCCUGGCGAGGUACUAUGUUCUAAAUCACUUCUCUGGAUUAAGGAUGGAGAAGACUUAAGAAGAUGGAGCUAAACAAUAAAUUUGGUUAACUAAUCAGAUUGAAA